rnacentral:rRNA from 1 species
UACGUAGGGGGCAAGCGUUGUCCGGAAUCAUUGGGCGUAAAGAGCGCGUAGGCGGUCCGGUAAGUCGGUUGUGAAAACUGGGGGCUCAACCCUCAGAGGCCGACCGAUACUGUCGGGCUAGAGUCCGGAAGAGGCGAGUGGAAUUCCUGGUGUAGCGGUGAAAUGCGCAGAUAUCAGGAGGAACACCGAUGGCGAAGGCAGUGGUCUGGGCCGAUACUGACGCUGAGGAGCGAAAGCGUGGGGAGCGAACAGG